UACGUAGGGAGCAAGCGUUGUCCGGAUUUAUUGGGCGUAAAGAGCUCGUAGGCGGCUUGGCAAGUCGGAUGUGAAACCCCCAGGCUUAACCUGGGGCCGCCAUUCGAUACUGCUAUGGCUUGAGUUCGGUAGGGGAUUGUGGAAUUCCCGGUGUAGCGGUGAAAUGCGCAGAUAUCGGGAGGAACACCAAUGGCGAAGGCAGCAAUCUGGGCCGACACUGACGCUGAGGAGCGAAAGCGUGGGGAGCAAACAGGAUUAGAUACCCUGGUAGUCCACGCCCUAAACGUUGGGCACUAGGUGUGGGACCUACUUCGACGGGUUCCGUGCCGUAGCUAACGCAUUAAGUGCCCCGCCUGGGGAGUACGGCCGCAAGGCUAAAACUCAAAGGAAUUGACGGGGGCCCGCACAAGCGGCGGAGCAUGUGGCUUAAUUCGAUGCAACGCGAAGAACCUCACCUGGGCUUGACAUGUUGGGAAAAGCCGUAGAGAUACGGUGUCCAUUAGGGCCCCUCACAGGUGGUGCAUGGCUGUUGUCAGCUCGUGUCGUGAGAUGUUGAGUUAAGUCCCGCAACGAGCGCAACCCUUGUCUUAUGUUACCAGCGAGUAAUGUCGGGGACUCAUGAGAGACUGCCGGGGUCAACUCGGAGGAAGGUGGGGAUGACGUCAAGUCAUCAUGCCCCUUAUGUCCAGGGCUGCACACAUGCUACAAUGGCCGGUACAGAGGGUCGCAAUCCCGCGAGGGGGAGCUAAUCCCACAAAGCCGGUCUCAGUUCGGAUCGCAGUCUGCAACUCGACUGCGUGAAGCCGGAGUCGCUAGUAAUCCCGAAUCAGCAUUGUCGGGGUGAAUACGUUCCCGGGCCU
rnacentral:rRNA from 1 species